rnacentral:lncRNA from 1 species
CUCCCCGCCGCCCCCGGUAUACAAAUAUAAGUCACCUCCUCCCCCCGUCUACCACUACAGCUCGCCACCACCGCCGGUUUACAAGUACAAGUCGCCACCACCACCUGUGUACCAUGCCCCGGCUCCUGUUUACAAGUACGAGUCGCCCCCCCCACCGGUUUACAAGUACAGCUCCCCUCCACCGCCGGUCUACAAAUAUAAGUCGCCACCACCUCCUGUGUACCACGCCCCGGCUCCUGUUUACAAGUACAAGUCACCUCCUCCCCCCGUCUACCACUACAGCUCGCCACCACCGCCGGUUUACAAGUACAAGUCACCACCACCACCUGUGUACCACGCCCCGGCACCAGUUUACAAGUACAACUCGCCACCACCCCCAGUUUACAAGUACAGCUCGCCACCACCACCUGUUUACAAAUACAAGUCGCCACCACCACCUGUGUACCACACCCCGGCUCCUGUUUACAAGUACGAGUCGCCUCCUCCGCCGGUGUACAAGUACAGCUCCCCGCCGCCACCGGUCUACAAAUAUAAGUCGCCACCACCACCUGUGUACCACGUCCCAGCGCCGGUUUACAAGUACGAAUCUCCUCCGCCACCGGUGUACAAGUACAGCUCUCCGCCACCACCAGUCUACAAGUAUAAGUCGCCACCACCACCUGUGUACCACGCCCCUGCUCCAGUCUACAAGUACAAAUCUCCUCCGCCACCGGUGUACAAGUACAGCUCGCCACCACCACCGGUUUACAAAUACAAGUCGCCUCCUCCACCUGUUUACCACGCCCCGGCUCCAGUCUACAAGUACAAAUCCCCGCCACCACCGGUGUAUCACUACAGCUCCCCGCCACCACCUGUUUACAAGUAUAAGUCUCCACCGCCGCCUGUUUACCACGCUCCCGCCCCAGUCUACAAGUAUAAGUCACCGCCGCCACCUGUUUACCACUACAGCUCCCCACCACCCCCGGUUUACAAGUACAAAUCUCCUCCUCCCCCUGUCUACCACGCUCCAGCAC